ACUUCCCAGAUGUCCCAGCCAGGGGUUGUGGGUCCAAAUUGUCUCCCCUCCCACCUAUUGUCCUAAUAUACCUGUCCAUCUUCUUUAAGGAUGUGGAUUUCCUGAGGCCAGGGACCAUGUCUUGCUCAUCUCUGGAUCCCCCCAGGUUUGCCACACAGCCUGGAUGCCGGGGAGAAGGUGGUGAAUGGAGACGUAGCCCCUGACCUCUUGGAAUGCACUGCCUAGGGGACGGGAUGAACACGCACGCAAGCAAUGCCUUCAGGGAGAGCCCUUCCAUCCAUCUGCAGUUCCCCGUGGGCUUGCCCUCAACCAAAGGCCUCCCUGUCAGUCAUUGACACCUAGUCUGAAUGGAAGCCCCGCGAUGCCUUUCCCAGGUGCCCUUGCAGCCUCUGUGGCUGUUUGUUGCCUCCUGGAGCAGGUAAGAGAAGUGAUCAUUCAAAGGAGAGGCUUCCUGGGGCCUCUGAUGUCCAGCCAUGUGGGUGGGCAAUUGUGCUGUCUACCUCCUGGCCCCUGUACUGUGCAGACCCCACA
rnacentral:lncRNA from 1 species